GACGAACGCUGGCGGCGUGCCUAAUACAUGCAAGUCGAACGCAGUGGGGACGGGUGAGUAACACGUGGGUAACCUCCCAUCAGAGGGGAUAACACUUGGAAACAGGUGCUAAACCGAUACUGAUGGAUGGACCCGCGGUGCAUUAGCUAGUUGGUGAGGUAACGGCUCACCAAGGCCACGAGUCAUAGCCGACAGGAUGGGGUGAUGGGACACAGUGCGCCUGAGACACGGCCCAGACUCCUACGGGAGGCAGCAGUAGGGAAGCUUAGGCAAUGGACGAAAGUCUGACCGAGCAAAGCCGCGUGAGUGAAGAAGGUUUUCGGAUCGUAAAACUCUGUUGUUAUAGAAGCGGUAUCUAACCAGAAAGCCACGGCUAACUACGUGCCAGCAGCCGCGGUAAUAC
rnacentral:rRNA from 1 species